AGCGAACGCUGGCGGCAGGCCUAACACAUGCAAGUCGAACGAACCUUUCGGGGUUAGUGGCGGACGGGUGAGUAACACGUGGGAACGUGCCUUUAGGUUCGGAAUAACUCAGGGAAACUUGUGCUAAUACCGAAUGUGCCCUUCGGGGGAAAGAUUUAUCGCCUUUAGAGCGGCCCGCGUCUGAUUAGCUAGUUGGUUGAGGUAAUGGCUCACCAAGGCGACGAUCAGUAGCUGGUCUGAGAGGAUGAUCAGCCACAUUGGGACUGAGACACGGCCCAAACUCCAACGGAGGCAGCAGUGGGGAAUCUUGCGCAAUGGGCGAAAGCCUGACGCAGCCAUGCCGCGUGAAUGAUGAAGGUCUUAGGAUUGUAAAAUUCUUUCACCGGGGACGAUAAUGACGGUACCCGGAGAAGAAGCCCCGGCUAACUUCGUG
rnacentral:rRNA from 1 species